rnacentral:tRNA from 1 species
GCAGACAUAGUUUAACGGAAAGAAUCUAUAGCUACGAACUAUAGGGUGGUGGUUCGAUUCCAUCUGUCUGUA